rnacentral:lncRNA from 1 species
UUAAUAAUAUCUUUUACAGACUGUCAAGAAAGACAGUAUCAGCACAAUCCUUGCCACAGCAAGUUAUGAUAGAACUAAUUAUGAACUGGCAGCGAGGAUUUUUGAUGAUUAUAGACAAAGUCACCCUGACAAAAGUUUUCCACAACUUCUGUUCAGAAGACUAUUGGGAAUUUCUGAAAAGUGCCGCACACCAUACCUAUCAAGAAGUAUAGGCACAAAUGGUCUUAAGCAGGCACGUCAAGUGCAGAAAGACAUUUGCACUGAGAACCUGAAAAACCUGUUUGUAAGGGAACUAGAGGUAGCUGACUGGGCUGAGGCGGAAGACAUAUAUCCAGAUGAGACAAUCGAAUUAAUGGAAUUUGCAGACAUGGAAGUAACCACAAAAAAAGUACCCAUACGAAUUCUGGAUUUCCUCAAAAAAGUAAAAACGGGACAGAGCCAAGACCAGGAAAAUGAAAAAGAAAUAAGUGUCGAAAUAAUU